rnacentral:lncRNA from 13 species
GAUAUAGCUGCCGACAGACGGCCAAGGGGACGGAGCGCUCCUCAAGUGGUGGCAGGGAGGCUCGUGGUCCCACGUUGCUCUGGACGGGGGCGCUUUGGGCACGAGGACGGGAGCGCGUGGUGUGAGCAGCUGGAGCACACCCUGGACGCGCGGGCCGCUCCCGGACUUCAACGGGAGCAUUAGGUAAAAAAGCACUUGGAAAUGGGAGAAGGUUUUCUUAUGGAAGAUGGUGACAUAAAGGAAGGAAGAGCUAAUCUGCCUACUUUGGUUUAGUGGAGAAAAUGGGUCCGUAAACGUUUAAACAGAAGUAGAGCCCUUUGAAAUGGAUCAAAAUGUGACAUCUCUCAGCCAUCUGCACAUUAUGUGAAGAGUGUAAGGCUGUGUUUCUUAAACCAGCUCUAAAAUUUCUCUCAUUUUCUAUUAAUGGAGGGGGGGAGGCUGGGACUAUUCAUUUAAUCUAACAGAGUCUCUUUCCUUAUGGAGCCCAAAAGCUCUGCAUGAGCUGAAGACUGGAAUACUCACCCUGCGUUUUACAGGCUCCUUUCUCUAGGUCCUCCUCUU